CCUAUUCCGCGACGAGGCAAAGCAAGACCCCUUUAAAGGGGUUAAGGGCGUGGGCUUUAGGGAUCGAAGGUUACCCUCCGCGCUCGCAAUGAAGGUGGUGGUACAGGGAGCUGCGCCGCUCACUUCUGCCGCCAUCAAGCAGCCGCCGCGAGUAGCGGCCGCUACCUAGCUCCGCAUCGAACGAACGCUCCCGUAUAAGCGUACUCCAAACCGCAGUCCCGCUCGGCACAGGACGAGCGGGCGUGAGGUAGGUACCUACGUCAUCUCCGAGUGAUGGCGCCAGGUCAGGACGUCCGGUGACGCCAUCCACUGCUCCUCCUCCGACACUGCGGCCGACGAGACGACCGGCGGUAGCUCCUCGCGACGCCGCACAACGGUCGCCUCCACUCGUAGCUCCAACGCACGGGGGGCGUACUGUACACCAACGAAAAGAGUUGCUUCCUCUUCACGUGCUACCACGAGGUUGGUAGCUACUUCGAGUUCACGACAGCGACCACCUAAGUCAAACUCGCCACCCACUCUCUCUAGGCACCGUGUGGCCCACGGGACCUCAUGUUCAGGUUCGAUUCAAAGCUUCCGGAGGGACUAGUUCGUACCAGCUCCGUAAGUCACCUUCCUCACGACCUCCUGAACCCGCCGCUCUACUAUCUCUAAUAUGGCGGCUUCUUGGCUGCACUCGAGCUCCAUUACCGCCGAGGCACUGGGCAGCUUUCAGCCCUUCCACCAACUGCACCUCUAUGGGCGCGGUUUCGAACGCAACACGUGUCUAGGCGGAGGUGUCAGAAACCUUCUCAAACAACGCGCACUUCACCGCAGACUCAUGCCUGGUAGUAGCGGCUUCUUCUUCUUCUGCUAACAGAUAGGUCACUAGAGAGUGUACUUCCAAUGACUAGCACCAGGAGACGAGCGACUUCUGGACGGCCUACUUACCGACGGGUUGCUUCCCCUCCUAGACUGCGCAUUCGUGUCUAAGUGGUGUCACGAACCGUUUCACCUACCGUGAUAGAUACUAAUAGCUCGAUAGAUCAAAUAAACACAACAAAUAGUUACUUGCGUAGUCAAAUAGAUACAUCAAUGACUUGGUCAUAGAGACAAAGACUUAAACCAUACAAGCCACGGGAAAACACUUGAACCAUACAUUAUAAGUCAACAAUAUAAUAGAUACCUACUUGAACCAUAGAUUAUACGUCAUUAACAGUAUAAUAGAUACUUCGAUACGUACUCAAGUACUACUACUUUACUUUAAUAUACAACGAUUGACAACACACAGUCUUAUUCUUACGUUGCAUCACGUAGUAGAUUCACAUGACAUCGAGUAGGUUGUUGGUGUAAAGUGACACGGUGUAAAGUAUUGAUUUCACGUAAUGUUCUAGUAUAUCGACUAUCUCUCGUGAAAUCAUGUAUUAGACCUCGUAGAGUUUUGAUGUUACGUAUGAUCUUCAAAAUCUAGAUCAUCAUUAUUGUAUAAUGUUUUCUGAACUGGUGUACUAGACCUCGUAGAGUGUUUGAUGUCACGUGUGAUCUUCAAAAUCUAGGUCAUGAUUAUUGUAUGAUGUUUUCUGAACUGGUGUACUAGACCUCGUACUAGUGUUUGUCUUGUACAAGUAAUUGUACAAGACGUCGACUAGUAUUCGUUUUGUGUUUUAUUUUACUAUAUAAAAUGAGGUCGAUCUGGACGUACAGAGAAAAGGAUAGAGCCAAGUAUUUUGUACAAGUGAGAAGAUCCAAGAAAUUUAGGAGAGAACAACGAUGAACUUCAACCACGUGAAGAGAAGUAAGCACAACCAAACCUGACUGUACACUAUGCAGGUAAAAAGUAGUACGAAAAUAUACCUAUAAAUAACGUAAUACCCGACAAUAAUGUGUAAUAUAGUGUUAUGAAUACGGAAAAGAGAGAAUAAAAUAUUCCAAAUGUACUUCUCCCUCUUUACGGCCGUCGACCUUAAGACCUGACCUUUUCCUCGUUUAUAAUCUCUGGAUAAGACGUGUUGAGGUCUUCAGGACUUUGAAGUGCCUCUUAUAAAAACCUUAUAUAUUUUUUAUAACCCACUUCUUUCGUGGUCUAUCCCCGGUGGACGGUAGGUGUUCCUACCCCCCGCGCGGGAUGGGGGACCCGCGCGAUGGACAUAAACCCGGUGGAUCGUCCGGGGGCUGCGGGUAGAAGACGAUAUACCACACAAAACUGGACCUUUUUUUAGUCUUCCUUCGAAAGCACUGCUUCGUGGCGACAGAGUUCCGCUUUGAAUCCGUCUUGGUUAGAUCCCGAGGCCGCCUCGACAAGACGGCCCCUUUGAAGGGAGGCCCUCCCCCUUUAGUAGCGGUAGCAGUAGUGGUUACUAGGAGAGUAGCUCUCCCCCAAUUAGAGGUAGUUGUAGAAGUGGUCGUGGUAGAGGAGAGUUUCGGAUCUAGUAGAGAACAUAGGCUAUGAACAGAGUUUUGGAGCCUAUCCAUGGACACCCAACGAUCAUCACAACUAAUGAGGAACAUCAACUACGAUCAACCAAAUAAGUCACCUCCUGUAUACAAGUCUAGGAAUUACUAUUAAAUUAUGAGGAGAUUAAUACUUGUACUU
rnacentral:rRNA from 1 species